rnacentral:rRNA from 1 species
GAUGAACGCUGGCGGCGUGCCUAAUACAUGCAAGUCGAGCGAACAGACGAGGAGCUUGCUCCUCUGACGUUAGCGGCGGACGGGUGAGUAACACGUGGAUAACCUACCUAUAAGACUGGGAUAACUUCGGGAAACCGGAGCUAAUACCGGAUAAUAUAUUGAACCGCAUGGUUCAAUAGUGAAAGACGGUUUUGCUGUCACUUAUAGAUGGAUCCGCGCAGCAUUAGCUAGUUGGUAAGGUAACGGCUUACCAAGGCAACGAUGCGUAGCCGACCUGAGAGGGUGAGCGGCAACACAGGAGCUGAGACACGGUCCAGCCUCCUACGGGAGGCAGCAGUAGGGAAUCUUCCGCAAUGGGCGAAAGCCUGACGGAGCAACGCCGCGUGAGUGAUGAAGGUCUUCGGAUCGUAAAACUCUGUUAUUAGGGAAGAACAAAUGUGUAAGUAACUAUGAACGUCUUGACGGUACCUAAUCAGAAAGCCACGGCUAACUAC